rnacentral:rRNA from 1 species
UACGAGGGGUCCUAGCGUUGUUCGGAAUCAUUGGGCGUAAAGCGUCUGUAGGCGGCUUUGUAAGUCAGGUGUGAAAGCCCCGGGCUCAACCCGGGAAGUCGGCAUUUGAUACGUAGCAUAGCUUGAAUGUUGGAGAGGAUAGUAGAAUUCCGAGGUGUAGUGGUGAAAUACGUAGAUAUCUGGAGGAAUACCGGUGGCGAAGGCGGCUAUCUGGCCAAACAUUGACGCGUGAGAGACGAAAGCAUGGGGAUCAAACAGGAGUUAG